AAUCGGCCACAUUGGGACUGAGACACGGCCCAAACUCCUACGGGAGGCAGCAGUAGGGAAUCUUCCACAAUGGACGAAAGUCUGAUGGAGCAACGCCGCGUGAGUGAAGAAGGUUUUAGGAUCGUAAAACUCUGUUGUUGGAGAAGAACAGGGACUAGAGUAACUGUUAGUCCUUUGACGGUAUCCAACCAGAAAGCCACGGCUAACUACGUGCCAGCAGCCGCGGUAAUACGUAGGUGGCAAGCGUUGUCCGGAUUUAUUGGGCGUAAAGCGAGCGCAGGCGGUUUUUUAAGUCUGAUGUGAAAGCCUUCGGCUUAACCGAAGAAGUGCAUUAGAAACUGGGAAACUUGAGUGCAGAAGAGGACAGUGGAACUCCAUGUGUAGCGGUGAAAUGCGUAGAUAUAUGGAAGAACACCAGUGGCGAAGGCGGCUGUCUGGUCUGUAACUGACGCUGAGGCUCGAAAGUAUGGGGAGCGAACAGGAUUAGAUACCCUGGUAGUCCAUACCGUAAACGAUGAAUGCUAAGUGUUGGAGGGUUUCCGCCCUUCAGUGCUGCAGCUAACGCAUUAAGCAUU
rnacentral:rRNA from 1 species